rnacentral:rRNA from 1 species
CGUGGGUAACCUGCCCAAGAGAUCGGGAUAACACCUGGAAACAGAUGCUAAUACCGGAUAACAACAGAUGAUGCCUAUCAACUGUUUAAAAGAUGGUUCUGCUAUCACUCUUGGAUGGACCUGCGGUGCAUUAGCUAGUUGGUAGGGUAACGGCCUACCAAGGCGAUGAUGCAUAGCCGAGUUGAGAGACUUAUCGGCCACAUUGGGACUGAGACACGGCCCAAACUCCUACGGGAGGCAGCAGCU